rnacentral:tRNA from 1 species
GACCGUAUAGCUCAGAUGGACAGAGCAGUCGCCUCCUAAGCGACAGGUCGGAUGUUCGAAUCAUCUUACGGUCGCCA